rnacentral:rRNA from 1 species
CCCUUAGAUGUUCUGGGCCGCACGCGCGCUACACUGAUGCAUUCAACGAGUCUAAAACCUGGUCUGAUAGGGCUGGGUAAUCUUUUGAAAGUGCAUCGUGAUUGGGAUAGAUGAUUGCAAUUCUUCAUCUUCAACGAGGAAUGCCUAGUAAACGCAAGUCAUCAGCUUGCAUUGAUUACGUCCCUGCCCUUUGUACACACCGCCCGUCGCUCCUACCGAUUGAAUGAUCCGAUGAAUACCAUGGAUUGAGAGUACGAAUGGGUUCGCUCAUUUCUGCUGCUCGAGAAGUGGAGCAAAUCUUAUCAUUUAGAGGAAGGAGAAGUCGUAACA